rnacentral:lncRNA from 1 species
AGAGUGUUUACAGAUGCGUAAAAUGGAGUGUUUAUGAAUGCAUGCUUGGGUGGUUAAAGUGUAAAGAAGAGAUAGAAUAUAAUUAGCAUAAAAAUAUAGUGUUUAUCUUUGGACCUGUCUCAACCCACUCUGUCCCUCGCGUUCCUCUCUGAUAAAAUGGCUACAGUGAUUCCCACCUGCAGUAUACCUUGAGAUUGUGUUCUAGACUCCAUUGGCCAUAAGGCAUCCCUCCUGCCUCUCCCACAGAAAGCCUCACAUCUCAGGGUAGUUUCCUUCAGCUGAAAUCACUAGCAAUUUGGUCACCUCAAUGGAGCACACAAAGGAAGGAGACAACCAAGACCUGGAAUCAGUGCUUGCUUCACUUGAAGGGCCAUUUGGGUGGAAGGCAAAGUAGGAGGAGGAAAGAUGGAGCCAAUAAGGGGUGGUGGGAGAUCUCCUAGUGGGAGGGAAUUGGCAGCCAGCCAGGGGACCUAGGCUUCAGCCUCAGCUCAUAAAAAUUAUUGUAGGGCCUUGAAAAACUCACUGUCCCUCUUUGGCCCUAGUUUCUUUCUCUGUAAAAUGAGAGAAGUUAAAAUUAACUGUCUUUUAUGGAGCACCUAUUUUUUAUUAGGUGGGUAUUGUCCUAGGAGCUCUGGGAGCUCUACUAUUUUAAAUACAAAAGCCUGAGUGGGAUGAAUCUUGUCCCUAUUUUAAGGGUAGCAAUUGUGAGUAUGAGAUAUGAGAAGUCACCAGCCAAGGGAAAAGACAGCUUAGAAUUCUCCAACCCAUUCAUAAUAUGGUUAAGCAAGUGUGGUACUGUAGUGUGAUGGGUCCCCCAUCAGUUUGCUUAAGGGUGUAUGUCUGCUGCCUGAACCCUGAAGGCGAGCCAAUGAGCCAAGGUCAUGGUGCCCAGCCAAGGAGCAGGUGUCCCUGUGAACCCAAGCAUCCCAGAGGGUAUCUAAGAAUCUACAAGAAAACAGUCUCAUUGCACACACAGUCGGCAAAGAGCCAGAAAAUUUGCUUAAAAGUAGCUUAGGGGCCAGGCGCAGUGGCACACGUCUGUAAUCCCAGCACUUUGGGAGGCUGAAGU